rnacentral:tRNA from 1 species
AGAUUUUUUAUUCAAUUAUGAUUUUAAAUUGCAAAUUUAAAGGUAUUUUUAAAAAUC